GCUGCUUCUGCUCCUCCGGCAGGCUCCGGCCGCCGCCGUCACCUGGCAAUCACCGCCCAGGCCACGCCCAUCACCUUCUGCCGAGGGGGAAGGGCAAAGGGGCGUGGCCUCUGUAGACUGGCCGAGGUGCUCUGGCCUCUUAGGCUUCUGAGCCGCCCCGUGUCUGGUGGCAGCGAAGGGCAGCUUGCUGGGGCGUCCUUGGCCUUUCCUGCAUGGUAGCUGGGGGACUGUGCACCAAGCCCAGGACAUUUACCCUCCCUCACAGCCUGUGGAGGUAGCCAUGCUUCUGCAGAAGGUCCCGCAAAGGACUAUACUUGCGGACUCGGUACUCAUCUAAUUACCUUAAUGUUGUGCAGUGCGGGGCUGAAGAGGCAUCAGAAGAAGGGCAGAGCGAGCCAGAUGCGCGUUCCUCAUCGCCGGUGGACACUUGGCUCCUCCUGGCCAAAGGACAGAACAUUCUGCUUUACCACCAAGUGCCUGUUUCAGCCAGUAGGCUCAUUACUGAUAGACUUGGGGGCUGCUGUUACAGCAAGUGGCAGGCCCUUUCUGGAGAAGGAUGUCCCAUCUCUGGGAAACUCAGGACUCAGACACGCUGUUCAUUAUUGUCGAAGAGUUUUGCUGCUGUCGGAACCUGCUGUUCAGAGACAGAUAAUGCCUUUCUCUAGCAGAUGUUUGACUGAGUGGAGAGAGGAGAUAAUAGUAAGUGGAUGUGAGGAGGAGGGCUGACUCGGAUUUAUACCACCAUCACUUUUAAAGAGUUAAUUUUUCAGAGCUGGGAAGAUGGUUUAGUUGGUAAAACGUUUGCCAUACAAGCAUGAGGAGCCGAGUUCAGAUCUCCAGCACCCAUGUAAAAAGGUAUAUAGUUCAUUUCUGUCAGAUCUAAGUGCCUGAAGACAAAGCAAGGCGGAAGAGGGAGAACAGAGAAGAAGAGAAUUCUUACCAUGGACCGUAAAACAAGCAGUGAAUUCACUAACAUCUGUGGUCUCAUCUUUACGCUUAGAGACCUAACAAUUCAGGGUAUCAUUUCUGACCCCAGCACUGCACAUCUGACUGUCCUACCCAUGAAGCCCAAAUGUACAGGUUGAGGGGAGAGCAUCAGUGAGAAACUGUGAGCAGCCGGGGACUCUGAGAUGUAGAAAGUGUGGACUCAGGAAAGAGUCAGGGGGCAGAUUUUAGCCCCCAUAUGGUUUAGCCUAGUGACACAGAAUGCCGUUGGAUAAUAGGCACACCCCUAUGGAAGAGUCUCUACCUCCAGGUCAUCAUCAGCCUUUACUUCAGUACCUGUCCCUGUGUGGAGUAUUGUUGGAGUUCCAGGCGGACUCGAAAACUUAAAACAUGAAACACAUCCAGGAACGAAUAUCAGUCAUUUAUUCCUUCAAGAGGGAACAAAACAUCUGCAACUCCGGGAAGUCAAGUCCUGCCGUCUGAGUUGUUUGCAAAUGGACGUACUAAGUGCUGGUCACCAUUGUCACAGGAGCCCUUGUCUCUCCCGUCAGUAGUGCUGCUUGAGGAGAAAAAGAGCAUUUCCCAGGUCUGCCUUGUCAUUUCCAGGAAAGUCAGCCAGCAGGUUUGGGUUCAAACUUCUUCAUGAAGCCAUCUUCCUGUGAGAAGAAAGUGCAGACUGAAGACUCAGUGAGAUACUCUCACCACGAGUAGUCAUUUCAUUCUCCCCAUUGUUCUCUACUCCAAAGCCAAAUCCCUUUAGAAUAUAGCCACCCAAUAGAAAUACAGCUGAGCUACAUAUGUUAGCUUCAAGGGAUUUUGCAGCCAUAUAUUAAGAAGUGUCUUUGUCAGUCUUCUAUUGCUGUGAAGAGACACCAUGACCAAGGUAGUUCUUAAUUUAACUGGAGGCUAGCUUAUAGUUUCAGAGGCUUAGUCCAUUAUCAUCAUGGCAGGAAGCAAGGGGCACGCAGGCAGGUAAGAACUAAGGUGGCAUGCAGUAGCUGCUAAGAGCUACAUUCUGAUCUGAUCCAUAAGCAGAGAGAGAGACAGACUCUGGGGUUGGCAUGACAUACUUCCUCCAACAAG